rnacentral:lncRNA from 1 species
CAUUUACUUGCUUAUCUACUCAUGCCACAGUUGACCUAGUGGUGUACUUCUCCACUCUCGGCGGCUUACCCACUGGGAACUAUUGUUUAAUGGUUCUCACGCCCUCUUUGUUGUUGUUUUAUAGAGCCUUCCACCACGGGAAAGGCUAGGGUUCUUGGCGAGGGGUCUGCGGCUAGCUAGAGCCUUUUUGGACGUGUACUAGACGACCUCCACCACUUUAUGUAGUUUAGAACAGAGAUGUAUAUUAAGUUUUUGUAAAUUGUACGUUAUUCUUAUUUCCUGUAUUAAGGUUUGGCACUACAACAUAUUGGUUAAUUGCUGGCAGAUACUUGCUGGCAGAUCCGGUGAGUGCCAGCACAUGCACAAAUUUCCUGGCAAUUUUGUAAAGUGCCCGUAUAUUUUUAUUGCGCGAUCUCAAAACCCAACUUCGCCAAGUUAAAAAUGAAAAAAUAAAAACCUUCGCGCGAGGGCGAGCGCUGCAAUCGCCGGAGAGCAAAGUUUUUUUUUCUUUUUGGCGCGAGAAACAAAAACAGCCCUCCUAACCUCUUUUUCAUCCCAUUCUUCACACUCUAAAAAAUCUUUCUCAAUCCCUUCCCUCAGAAUCUAAAAGCUCUGUUUCCUACUUUAUCAGCCCCUUUCUUCAUAAUCUAAAAGCCCUAAUUUCUUGCUUCCACCUCAACCAGGGCGUCAUCCACCUCGGCAGCGGAGGCUUGUUAUCCAUCACGGCAGCAACAAUCACUGCAUGGAGCUUGUCAAUCACCGCACGAAGUCGCCAGAUUUGCUAUCUCCUCGACCUCAAAUUUCUCGCUUCGUUCACCACAACGUGAGAGCGCGAUCCCUCUAACAAAUUUCAUAGCAGUGACCGUAUUCGUAAAAUUUGGGUAAGAAUUUUGCAUUUGGAUUGAUGCAUGGACAAGAAAUUUGUUUAGGGCUUUUUUAUUGUGGAAUUUGCUGUGAUUUUUGUUAACGGCAAACCGUAUAAAACGCUCCGUUUACAAUCUUUUUCCAAAACAUCAGAAUAAAACAAGGUUUUUUUUUUCCCUUGCUCAAAGUAUUUGUGAUCGGUUUUGCCGAAUUAUAUUCCAAAAAAUUCAGAUUGAGCAGCGGAAACAUGAAAUUUUUCAAAAAAAAUUUAUAUUUGGCGGCUGCGGAAAGGUGAAAUUUCUCGAACCGUUGUCGCUCGACCACCGUUCCGCAAAUCCGUGCACCACCUAGUGAGCAGUCGAGCAACCUUGCCUGUUCGAUUUUGAAGGAAUCAUGGAUACGAAGCGAAGCAAAGAAAAAAUGAGGAGAAGCGAGUAAGAAAGGAGAAGGGGCAAAAAACGCGGCGUAUGGUGGUUGGGAAACAGCGGGGUCCACGAGGCUACACUUAGCCUCCUGGACCACGCAGGAGGGAGAGGUCUGUGGACCUCUCACU